UUUGUUGCAUUCGUUACAGAACUGUUACCAACCUUCCAAUAAUAAUCGCACAAUCUAUGACUUCUCUGUGACAAAGAUUGACGGAAAUGAAGUUGUCAAUUUAGAAGAGUUCAGAGGUCAGGUUCUGUUAAUCGUCAAUGUGGCAACCUACUGAGACUACACCUAUCAAUAUUCUGGAAUGAAUGCACUUAAUUCCAG
rnacentral:sRNA from 1 species